rnacentral:rRNA from 1 species
UACAGAGACUGCAAGCGUUAUUCGGAUUCACUGGGCGUAAAGGGUGCGCAGGCGGUCGGGUGUGUCAGAUGUGAAAUCCCGAGGCUCAACCUCGGAACUGCGUCUGAAACUACUCGACUAGAGUACUGGAGAGGGAAACGGAAUUCACGGUUGUAGCAGUGAAAUGCGUAGAUAUCGUGAGGAACACCAGAGGCGAAGGCGGUUUCCUGGACAGUUACUGACGCUCAGGCACGAAAGCAUGGGGAGCAAAAGGG